UCAGCUCUUUUUGCAGAAGGAAAUUACUGGGGAGCCGUGCAGAAUCCCCAUAAGUGAAGCGUCAUGCACUCCCACAGGUGCAUAAAUCUGAACGCCGCUGUGGGAUCGUGGAGCCGCCUGGCUCGGGGUGUGUUGGUGUGGAGCUGUGCUCUGCUGCUGUCAGGGCAGCUUCUUCAGCUCUGCCCAAUCACACACAGUGUCACUGAGCUUUCCUAUGACUGUCCUUCAGCUCUGCCCAAUCACACACAGUGUCACUGAGCUUUCCUCUGACUGUCCUUCAGCUCUGCCCAAUCACACACAGUGUCACUGAGCUUUCCUCUCACAGCCCAGGGGCAAUUCCUCGGACUAUCACCCACAGCCAUAGAUUCACAGCUGGGCAGUUGGUGCAUGGAGAUCAGACCACAAGCAGCGAGUUAACCACAGUCAUCACAACUAUAAGAUGAGGUGGAGAGACCUUCAACACGCAGCCAAUGAAAUCUGUCAUAAUGCGGCCGCGCGCGGUUGAAGCAGAUCUGUUUGGUGUACCCCACGCUCUCCCACCCCCAGUGCUGUCAGCUCCCUGUAAAUCUGCUCUGCCGCCCGGGGAGAGAGCGCCUGUCUGUGGCGUCAGCGAGCAGUGCCUUUAAUCUCCGUGCCAUAAAUCCGAGGCCGAUGACUCAUCGCCGCUCUCCCACCGCCUCCCGCACCCCGCCUGUCUGCUCCCCAGCUGCCGCGGACUGCAGACCCCAGUGUGGUGGUCUGUCGCGCGUGCGCGCCUCUGACUCAUAGCGCACAGCUCAGAAGAAAACUCCCAGCACCACCCUGGCAAGGUGUGGCGAACAGGAGGUGAGGUCACACAAGAGGCAUGGCAAGAGCCACGCUAUCUAGACUGACAUUACAAUGGUACAUUAGUGAUGGGAUUUAGCCUGCUAUAUCCCAUCAUGCACCUUUUCUUUUUGAGGGCCACUGACUCCUUUGCCUGCCUCUCAAGCCAAAAAGCCCUGCUGACAAAUAACAUUCAUGCAAAUAAAAAGCUUGCUGCGCAUUGCCAUCACAGAGCGCGACAGAUGUGGCGGUCUAUUUCCGAUGAAAGUGAGAUUUAAAUCAGUUGAGUUGCUGUUGCAGGAGUCUGACUGAGGUCUGCAGCCCUGUAUCUGCUCUUGCAGAGUUCUGUGAAAACCACCCUCUGCUUGUUAUCUUUUUUUUAUGUGAAUGAGAGCCAGAAGGGGGAAGUCCUCACAAAGCCUGGCUACUGAAGAGUUGCAGUCUGUUAGAGUGUUUGAAGUCUAUUUAUUGCAUAACCAUCUGGUCUAUUUGGGUAUCUGGGACUGUUUAUUGGUGCUGGGAUGCAGCUCAUUACCCAAAUUCAAAUGUGAUGCAGACAACACUGUCGCAUUCAAAUCCGACAAACCCCCCAUCUCAUACUCCCUCUCUCUGCCCUGACGAGCAGUGGUUUUGACACGGGAGUUUUGAUCCUCCCAUCAAUAGUAAUCAAUGAGAACAGAAGAGGAGAACAGAGCUGAUGUCAGCUGUCCCUAAAAACACUUUUUUACAGCUUACUCAGCUUGUCAGCAUACCAUUGCUCAGACACUGAGAUCAUCACUGAAAAUUUACUGAGAUGACCGCAAUAUUCUUAGUAAUGUGGUUUCAACAAAACUUCCCUAUGGACAUAUAAUGUCAUUUGUUCUUUGUGCUCACAAAAACCUAAAUCUAAAAUUCCUAUAUUAGGACAUCUGCAUUUGCAUAUGAGAAUGCUCUUCUGUGGGUCAACAAGAGAUCACAUGACUAACAUGACCACAUGUGACAGUGCUUACAUGAAGCGCAGUUCAGACUCCCGGCGCACAAGAACCUCACGAAGACGCUGGAUUCGUGCCAUCUCCACCUCGAUCUCGUCUGGAGACAUGGAGCUUUCAGCCAUGGAAACGUCGGUCUGGGCUAAGAGAAGAAGUGAAGAGGAAGCUGGGAUUUAGACUCCAUAAAGCUCUGUGAGAGACACUGGCAUAGAGUCAUCAGACAGGCCUCUAAAGCAAAGUGAAGAGGGUGACAUUACAAUGUGUUUUAGGGCCCUGUGAGUAAUACUGAAUUUCAAUUCAGUAAUUGCCUUGCACUCAAAGACCUGAUCAGUGACUGCAGAACCUAUUAAAUUGGUGGUUGUGGCUAGUUUUGCUGAUAUGACUUUUAAUCUGUUACAAAUGUCUCUAGAAUAUGGAAUAAAUCUAGAAUAACUGAAGCCUUAAUCAAACAGGACUGUUUCUGGAGGUGAUGUUCCAGGCCAGCCAUACACAAAGCUGGUGCAGUC